rnacentral:rRNA from 1 species
GUGAACGCUGGCGGUAGGCCUAACACAUGCAAGUCGCACGGCAGCACAGUAAGAGCUUGCUCUUACGGGUGGCGAGUGGCGGACGGGUGAGGAAUACAUCGGAAUCUACUUUUUCGUGGGGGAUAACGUAGGGAAACUUACGCUAAUACCGCAUACGACCUACGGGUGAAAGCAGGGGAUCUUCGGACCUUGCGCGAUUGAAUGAGCCGAUGUCGGAUUAGCUAGUUGGCGGGGUAAAGGCCCACCAAGGCGACGAUCCGUAGCUGGUCUGAGAGGAUGAUCAGCCACACUGGAACUGAGACACGGUCCAGACUCCUACGGGAGGCAGCAGUGGGGAAUAUUGGACAAUGGGCGCAAGCCUGAUCCAGCCAUACCGCGUGGGUGAAGAAGGCCUUCGGGUUGUAAAGCCCUUUUGUUGGGAAAGAAAAGCAGCAGGUUAAUACCCCGCUGUUCUGACGGUACCCAAAGAAUAAGCACCGGCUAACUUCGUG